AGAGUUUGAUCAUGGCUCAGGAUGAACGCUAGCUACAGGCUUACACAUGCAAGGUCGAGGGGCAGCAUGGUCUUAGCUUGCUAAGGCCGAUGGCGACCGGCGCACGGGUGAGUAACACGUAUCCAACCUGCCGUCUACUCUUGGACAGCCUUCUGAAAGGAAGAUUAAUACAAGAUGGCAUCAUGAGUUCACAUGUUCACAUGAUUAAAGGUUUUCCGGUAGACGAUGGGGAUGCGUUCCAUUAGAUAGUAGGCGGGGUAACGGCCCACCUAGUCUUCGAUGGAUAGGGGUUAUGAGAGGAAGGUCCCCCACAUUGGAACUGAGACACGGUCCAAACUCCUACGGGAGGCAGCA
rnacentral:rRNA from 1 species